UGGGGAAUUUUGCGCAAUGGGCGAGAGCCUGACGCAGCAACGCCGCGUGGGUGAUGAAGGUCUUCGGAUCGUAAAACCCUGUCGUCAGGGACGAAGGUCACGAGUUUAAGAGAUGCGUGACUUGACGGUACCUGGAGAGGAAGCCCCGGCUAACUACGUGCCAGCAGCCGCGGUAAGACAUAGGUGGCAAGCGUUACUCGGAAUUACUAGGCGUAAAGCGCGUGCAGGCGGAUGCUUAAGUCUGUAGUUUAAUCUCCCGGCUCAACCGGGAAAGGUCUGCGGAUACUGAGCAUCUGGAGUGGGACAGAGGAAGCUGGAAUUCCCGGUGUAGCGGUGAAAUGCGUAGAUAUCGGGAAGAACACCGGCGGCGAAGGCGGGCUUCUGGGUCCUUACUGACGCUGAGACGCGAAAGCUAGGGGAGCAAACA
rnacentral:rRNA from 1 species